rnacentral:lncRNA from 1 species
UAGACGGUUUGGACUGAACAGCAGGUUUGUUUUCGGGGUUCGCAUCAUCAAUAUCCAUCGGGGAGGCUUCAUCUUGAUUACCUGCGAGUUUUUCGUCCUCGGAUUCCCCCUCUCUCAUAUCUGUGUUCACUUGCUCAGGCAACGCAGGUCCUAGAGCUUGGGAAGUUCCUUCAUCAAACUGAGAAGCAAAUCCAUAUUCACCGGCAUCAGGGUCUUCCAUCUCAUUUUCGGCUUCUUGCUUUUCUCCAAGGUCUGAGGAAACCUUAAUUCUUUCUUUCCACUCCUUCAAUGCAUCACCAACGUUCCUAUAAGGAUUCACCUUGGUUUGCUGAGAUGUAGAUGACUGGCUCUGAGGAACUUCCAUCUUUGGUAUGUUGUCUGUCAACGUCUCACCACUGGCCAUGCUAGUCAUCGUGAGGUUCAUCUCAGUAUUACUACCCGAAGGCGGAUCCAUUGAAUCUGUUAGCUCCUCCGAAACAUUAGUAGCUGCCAAAUUUUCUUGCGGUGCUGUACUUCCUGCCCCCAAUCCGUUAGAGCCAUGAGGAUUGUGUGAACCAGCGUCCACACCAGAAAUAUUAUCAUCACAGACGUUCGGCUUCAUGUCUUCUGACAUGACUUCUUUUCCCUCAAUCGGUUCCGUUUCAGAUUUCUGUUCAAGAUCAUUUCCAGGUUCCUCUUUUUGGGGUGAUUCAGAUACAUCUUCAGUCCCAGCCUCCAUUGUUUCCUCAGCAGGCUCUUGCGUCUCUUGGUCAUUUUCAACUUCUUCAGGAUGCUUUUGAUCUUCCGGACAAGGUUCUUCCUGCUCAUCUUCCUUUUCAACCUCAUCUGUUUCGUCAAUCUCCAUGGCAUCAUCAGUCUGUUCAUUGCCCAUCUCAGGAGUUGGGCCAGAUGUAUCUGUAAGUGCUUCUUGGUUCUUGAUUUCAUCUUCUAAAUUUUCUGGGUCACCACAGUUAUCCUGAUCCACAUUCUCCUCGUUUCCUUCUUCCGGUUUGUCUGAAGUAUUGGACUCCUCAGGCUCAUCGGCAGUGUCAACAUCAUCAUCAUCCUUCGCUCGUAGCUCCCUUGAACUUGUGUCCUUGUCAGCAACAGAUGGUCCACUGCGAGUUUUUCGUCCUCGGAUUCCCCCUCUCUCAUAUCUGUGUUCACUUGCUCAGGCAACGCAGGUCCUAGAGCUUGGGAAGUUCCUUCAUCAAACUGAGAAGCAAAUCCAUAUUCACCGGCAUCAGGGUCUUCCAUCUCAUUUUCGGCUUCUUGCUUUUCUCCAAGGUCUGAGGAAACCUUAAUUCUUUCUUUCCACUCCUUCAAUGCAUCACCAACGUUCCUAUAAGGAUUCACCUUGGUUUGCUGAGAUGUAGAUGACUGGCUCUGAGGAACUUCCAUCUUUGGUAUGUUGUCUGUCAACGUCUCACCACUGGCCAUGCUAGUCAUCGUGAGGUUCAUCUCAGUAUUACUACCCGAAGGCGGAUCCAUUGAAUCUGUUAGCUCCUCCGAAACAUUAGUAGCUGCCAAAUUUUCUUGCGGUGCUGUACUUCCUGCCCCCAAUCCGUUAGAGCCAUGAGGAUUGUGUGAACCAGCGUCCACACCAGAAAUAUUAUCAUCACAGACGUUCGGCUUCAUGUCUUCUGACAUGACUUCUUUUCCCUCAAUCGGUUCCGUUUCAGAUUUCUGUUCAAGAUCAUUUCCAGGUUCCUCUUUUUGGGGUGAUUCAGAUACAUCUUCAGUCCCAGCCUCCAUUGUUUCCUCAGCAGGCUCUUGCGUCUCUUGGUCAUUUUCAACUUCUUCAGGAUGCUUUUGAUCUUCCGGACAAGGUUCUUCCUGCUCAUCUUCCUUUUCAACCUCAUCUGUUUCUUCAAUCUCCAUGGCAUCAUCAGUCUGUUCAUUGCCCAUCUCAGGAGUUGGUCCAGAUGUAUCUGUAAGUGCUUCUUGGUUCUUGAUUUCAUCUUCUAAAUUUUCUGGGUCACCACAAUUAUCCUGAUCCACAUUCUCAUCGUUUCCUUCUUCCGGUUUGUCUGAAGUAUUGGACUAUUCCCUUCCUCUUCUUGAGAUACACUUCCGUCUUUAUAAGAGCAAAGCUUUCCAAUCACAUCCUUAACAUUUGCAAAUGCAUUUGCCAAAUUUGCUUCAAAAGCAGCUUGUUCCUUGGAUUCCAUUCCAUUUGAUUGGUCUCCCGUUUCAAGUAAACAGUUCAGAUUUUCAGCCAGCAAUUUCCCCUGCAUUAAAUUCAUUUCGUGAAUCCGACUCUAGAACCUAAACACAAUCUAUAUGCUAGACUAGAAUCCACAAAAGUUGAAAAAAAUAGGAUACCUCUUUAAAGAAGGGGGAAAAAUGACUAAGAAGAACGUCUGUAGCAAAGGUUUUCUCAUUGUCUUCACAGAAAGCCGAAAUUUGAUUUUCCAGGUCCGUAAGCUGAUCAAAGUUAUGGCAUAGCAGCUUAACCAUAUGCUGUGUGACAAACUGAUUAAGACAGCUACUUGGCGUACUGAUAAAACCGUUGGAAUCAAGUAGAAGCCUAUCCAGUGAAGCCUGAUAUUAAAACACAUCUUCAGACUAUUGCAAGAAAGAACAGACAAGAGAGAUUGAAAAGAAGCCCGAGGAUUCUGGACCUUAGAAUUUUGAGCGAUGGGAAUUAGCUUUUCUAUUAAGCUGAGCAAACUAUGUGAUGAAGUUUUAACACUUUGACAGGAGUCCAAGUGUGUACUUCCAAUUGUUCUCAGCAACGCCAAUUCCUCCAGAAGCAUUGCACUAAUGUUAUCAAAUAGUUGCUGCCAUAUCACGAAAAGUAACAAAUUAACCAAGUGUUGUUGCAACAGGGGUUCAGUGCACAUCAUUCAAGUUAGUAGCUGAAAUACCUUUUGUAGCCACAUGCAAUUGAAUAUAGCAUGUUGAUUUUGGGGAAAACUCAACAAAGAAUCAUCCUUUCUGUCCUCCUCAAUUGAAUCUCCAAGUAAUUUUGCUAAGGGUAAAACACGAUGGCGAAAGCAGUUUAGAAGUUCAGUAAAACCGUAAGCAGUUUUCCUUUGCUGCCGUUGUAUUUCCACAAGAUGGUUGAGAAAUGAGAUUGAGCGCUUGACCUGUUAACAUAGGAAAUUUAGUGCAAGGACAAUAAAAAUUUGAAACAACUGGUUAAAAUGGGAUUCAGAGAAACUCGGGUAUAAAUUAUAAGCUUUGGAAAGCCUACCUGCUCGGCUGUAAUAUCUGAGUGUUUUCGUUCAAUAUUUAACAUGAGUUGCACUGAAGCCAAGCUCUUAAAGUAAAAUUCAUUCGCCGCUCUCCACUCAGCCAGUGAUCUUUCCUUGUUUUGGUCUUCGACAACCCUGGAAGUAUGUACGCUACCUUUGGUAUGUGUUGGCAGCAACAGAUGAUUUGGAUCGUAUGCUGGCUGGUAAAGCAACCCUUUAAAGUGAUUUGACAUCUAAAAAGAAGAUCACCAUAGAAUUAGUUAAUCAGUAUGAUGAUCAUGUCUCGGAAGUACAUAAGCAGACGCAACAAACAAAAGUUCUUACCUCUACAUUUUCAAACUUGUGUUUCUGCAAACCACAUUGCUCCAAUGACUUGAGAAGGUCAGGCAAGGCCCUCUUUUUUGCAACAUCUCUAUCACUGUUUCUCCAUAGAUCUGAACAGCUAGCUAUCUUCUCACCAAUCUUAGAAACUGUACUCCACAAAAUUUUCCAAUCACCCUGAUAGACAGGGGAAGGGUACUGAUGAUCUGCAAAGAUAUAAUGCAACUUUAAGAAUAUGCAGACUCUGCAAAGGCAAAAACAAAAAUAGAUCAUGUAGAACCCUGAGUGAAUGGAGCAAGUGUACAAACAAACCUUCACCCGUCAGCAAUUCUUUAAAAUGCAUUUCUUGGUGGAAGCGUCCUACCGACUCCUUCAACUUAUUCUCAGGGUCUUCCAUCUCAUUUUCGGCUUCUUGCUUUUCUCCAAGGUCUGAGGAAACCUUAAUUCUUUCUUUCCACUCCUUCAAUGCAUCACCAACGUUCCUAUAAGGAUUCACCUUGGUUUGCUGAGAUGUAGAUGACUGGCUCUGAGGAACUUCCAUCUUUGGUAUGUUGUCUGUCAACGUCUCACCACUGGCCAUGCUAGUCAUCGUGAGGUUCAUCUCAGUAUUACUACCCGAAGGCGGAUCCAUUGAAUCUGUUAGCUCCUCCGAAACAUUAGUAGCUGCCAAAUUUUCUUGCGGUGCUGUACUUCCUGCCCCCAAUCCGUUAGAGCCAUGAGGAUUGUGUGAACCAGCGUCCACACCAGAAAUAUUAUCAUCACAGACGUUCGGCUUCAUGUCUUCUGACAUGACUUCUUUUCCCUCAAUCGGUUCCGUUUCAGAUUUCUGUUCAAGAUCAUUUCCAGGUUCCUCUUUUUGGGGUGAUUCAGAUACAUCUUCAGUCCCAGCCUCCAUUGUUUCCUCAGCAGGCUCUUGCGUCUCUUGAUCAUUUUCAACUUCUUCAGGAUGCUUUUGAUCUUCCGGACAAGGUUCUUCCUGCUCAUCUUCCUUUUCAACCUCAUCUGUUUCGUCAAUCUCCAUGGCAUCAUCAGUCUGUUCAUUGCCCAUCUCAGGAGUUGGGCCAGAUGUAUCUGUAAGUGCUUCUUGGUUCUUGAUUUCAUCUUCUAAAUUUUCUGGGUCACCACAGUUAUCCUGAUCCACAUUCUCCUCGUUUCCUUCUUCCGGUUUGUCUGAAGUAUUGGACUCCUCAGGCUCAUCGGCAGUGUCAACAUCAUCAUCAUCCUUCGCUCGUAGCUCCCUUGAACUUGUGUCCUUGUCAGCAACAGAUGGUCC